rnacentral:rRNA from 1 species
CCAAUAGCGUAUAUUAAAGUUGCUGCAGUUAAAAAGCUCGUAGUUGAAUUUCGGGAUCAAUUUACUGGUCGUGCCUAUGGUACGUACUGGUAUUGUUGGUUCCUCCUUUCCGAGGAGCCGUGAUGUCAUUAAUUUGGUGUCGCGGGGAAUCAGGACUGUUACUUUGAAAAAAUUAGAGUGUUUAAAGCAGGCUAACGCUUGAAUACAUUAGCAUGGAAUAAUGAAAUAGGACGUAUUGAUCCUAUUUUGUUGGUUUCUAGGAUCGACGUAAUGAUUAAUAGGGAUAGUUGGGGGCAUUAGUAUUCAAUUGUCAGAGGUGAAAUUCUUGGAUUUAUUGAAGACUAACUACUGCGAAAGCAUUUGCCAAGGAUGUUUUCAUUAAUCAAGAACGAAAGUUAGGGGAUCGAAGACGAUCAGAUACCGUCGUAGUCUUAACCAUAAACUAUGCCGACUAGGGAUCGGAUGAUAAAUUUUUUAUAAAUCAUUCGGCGCCUUACG